UUGCACUGAGAUCCGUCUCUUGUAAUCUUACAAGUGGUCAGCCGAGACGUAUCUCUGUUUACACCUGUAACAUGAGUCUUAAAUGCGUCUCCUUUGGCUUCGACGGUUGACCAGGCCGGAUUCGAGGAAGCGACUCUGGUUUUGUACCUAAAUCAUCGCUAAAUCCAAGUUUUGCCGGCCGUCAGAGAUUGACAGAAAGUUUGACCCUCAGAUGACCUCAGGUCAUAAUCUCAGUGACCUCCUGACCUCCUCAGCCAACACAAGCACAGGAAACAGAAUCUGAAAGAGGACAUUCAGAGCAACCUCAUGAAGAAACGGAUUUAAAAUGAAUCACAAGGGCUGCGUCCGAAAACUGGAAAAUGCUGCCUUCGGAGGACACAUUUCAAGGCACGUCCGAAUCCAAAGUUAGCUUCCUGUUUCCUGAGAUACCUUCAUCUGAUUGAUUUUUG